CUUUGCUCAUUGACGUUACCCGCAGAAGAAGCACCGGCUAACUCCGUGCCAGCAGCCGCGGUAAUACGGAGGGUGCAAGCGUUAAUCGGAAUUACUGGGCGUAAAGCGCACGCAGGCGGUUUGUUAAGUCAGAUGUGAAAUCCCCGGGCUCAACCUGGGAACUGCAUCUGAUACUGGCAAGCUUGAGUCUCGUAGAGGGGGGUAGAAUUCCAGGUGUAGCGGUGAAAUGCGUAGAGAUCUGGAGGAAUACCGGUGGCGAAGGCGGCCCCCUGGACGAAGACUGACGCUCAGGUGCGAAAGCGUGGGGAGCAAACAGGAUU
rnacentral:rRNA from 1 species